rnacentral:snoRNA from 1 species
ACCUCUUUCUAAGAGAAUCAAAAGGAUUAAGGCUAACACAGAAGGAUGAAGUUAAGUCUCUAUAAAACCCAGAGAAAAGACCGUAUAACUCAUCUUUGGCUCCUGUCUUGAGUCACAGCU